rnacentral:misc_RNA from 1 species
GAUGAAGAACGCAGCGAAAUGCGAUAAGUAAUGUGAAUUGCAGAAUUCAGUGAAUCAUCGAAUCUUUGAACGCACAUUGCGCCCCCUGGUAUUCCGGGGGGCAUGCCUGUUCGAGCGUCAUUUCACCACUCAAGCCUCGCUUGGUAUUGGGCAACGCGGUCCGCCGCGUGCCUCAAAUCGACCGGCUGGGUCUUCUGUCCCUUAAGCGUUGUGGAAACUAUUCGCUAAAGGGUGUUCGGGAGGCUACGCCGUAAAACAACCCCAUUUCUAAGGUUGACCUCGGAUCAGGUAGGGAUACCCGCUGAACUUAAGCAUAUCAAUAAGCGGAGGA